rnacentral:lncRNA from 1 species
AGUACCUGGAUCGGCAACUCCUCGAUGUUUGUGACCACCGCUAGGUGGCAGUGGUGUCGAGCGCUAAGGACGCGGGGGAGCGGGUGCUAUUCAAAACAAUGGUCGGCGUCGCGUCGUAGGAUCGUUUGCCUUGUUUUUUGAAAAGUUAAGCCCCUUUGGAGCAGAUUGGAAGGUUUCAGAAGAUGGAGGAAGAUGGCAAGAUCAAAGAGAUGGGUUCAGUUUCCACGGUGUGCUGACUUGAAUUGGCAUCCUGUGAUUUGUGAUGUGAAUUAUGAUGCACGCACUCGCAGGUGCACGCCCACUGCGGACACGUGUGACGUGACGGCAGCAGGCAGCCGGGGUGUGAACUGUGAACUGGCUCGGCCGAAAAUGUUUAAGGUAUUACAGCGUUUGUAACUGACUAACAUACCCACUACGGGCAUACCCAUUGAGCGGAUAAUGCGUUCGUGUGCAUCGUGUUUGCAUUUAUUCCCGAUAUACUCUGGUGGAAGGUGUGAAUUGGAAACCAGCUUGGUGCUACGACACCGUUUAGUAGGCAUGUGGCACGUCGUUUCUCGAAACCUACCUAUCAGUCUAUGCAAUAAUAUGCAUUGUAUACAUUGUGUGUCAUCGUUCACCUUAGUUGUCAUUGAACCUGUGUUAAAUUCUGAACUUCAGGCCGAGACAGACUAUUUCCACAGUCAGGAAAU